UGGCAAACCAAGUAAUGAUGGAUUGGAGAGUGAUGAAAAGAUGAAGCUUCUGAUAAUGUGUGAGCAUCGAAGCGUAGGCCAGGUGCUACAUUUUGAACGUCGGGGUCUGCUGCUGACCUUAAGUUACUGGGAGCUCUGAAACCGUUCCAGUUGCAUUGGUGCCUUGACUCAGCACUGUUUAGACACAGAAUGCAGGACUUGCAGGCGGCAGCUGAGAGAGCGUUCACAAACAGCUGGUCACCACGAAG